GUUUAUUUCACUGACAAUCUGUGCGCGUUAGGCCCGCCCCUUCAAACUGCUCCGUGACCAGACCAUGGAUCUACUGUAAUAUCGGGACCAGACUCACUUCCCUGCGUGGAAAUGGACCGGGAACAGGCUGUCUGAAACAGUGAGUCCGUGACCCCCCCUGGCCUGGGUUUGUUUGACACAUGGAGAGACUUUCUGCACAGGUUGUCUGUGUGAAACAGUGAUCCCCCCCUGGCCUGGGUUUGUUUGGUCUCGUCCUGGUCACUAAAGUCAACACACGGUGGACUCUGCAGCGAUCGAUCUGUUUAGUGAUGAAGUCGGUGAUGAAGCCUCUGCUGGUUCUGCUCGUGCUGUGGCCUCGGCCCGGGACCUGCUCCGACUCACAUGACCAGGUUUUAUCGAUCACGCCCCAGACGCCAGAGGAGGCGGAGCUUCUGAAGAACAUCUCCACCAGGUUCGAGGUCAGUGUCAUCUCAUCAUAAUACACGCUGUGCGGUUCUUGGUCCAAAAAAUAGCAUCAUGUCACUUUAACAGCAUCUUAUUCUGAACUUAUGAGGCCAGACUGAAGGUUUAAAGCUGGUUUAGAGCAGGCAAAAGCAAACAGUAGAUUUACAAGAUUAGCAUGAGCUUUGAACUGCAUUGUUUUCAAUGAAAAAUGUGCUAACGAUGCAAAUGUGUCUAAUUAAAUAUGCACGAAAAUGUGACAUAACACCUCGUUUUCACGGGUCAUUAACAUGACAAAAGUGAGCACAGUAAACAUGAGCCAUUAUCAUCACUGUAGUAAACCUACAUGACAGAAAGACAAUGUAUACUGUUGUAGCCUUUAGCCUGUUAGAAGCUAUGCUACGCUAACAAACAAAGUUAUAAAUCUGGCAUCAGGAGAAACUUUGCAACACUCACCACUCAGAUGUAGCGACAUCAGAAAAAGAUUCAUGUUAAUCCUGAGUCAGAAUAAUGUCCAUGGAGACAGUUUGAGUCCAGUUUGUAACAGCAGUAACUUGUGUCUCUGUGUCUCUGUGGUGUCCAAGUGUCCACUUUGUUUAAACUGAGUAAAAACAGACUUUCUUUUGGAGACGUGUGAAUUUAUGCUGGAGUUUCUUUAUUUUUAGGAGCCACUGUUUAUUUCAGAUCAUUAGAAUAAACUGUUGCCCCAGUCAGGUCAGCCCGUCUACACUGCUGCUGCAUUCAAGAGCGCUACGACAUUACGAGCAGUAAAUAAAUCAAAUAAAAAAACUGCCAAUAUUUUCCCAUAUCAGACCGAUACCGAUAUGUGAAAAAAUUACAAAUAUCGCUAAAGUGUCCUCCUGCAGACGUCUCCUCUUAGUGUGGUUAUCUAUGAUGUAAUAAAGUGUCUCAGUGUGGUUAUCUAUGAUGUAAUAAAGUGUCUCAGUGUGGUUAUCUAUGAUGUAAUAAAGUGUCUCAGUGUGGUUAUCUAUGAUGUAAUAAAGUGUCAGUGUGGUUAUCUAUGAUGU
rnacentral:lncRNA from 1 species